GCCCGGAUGGUGGAAUUGGUAGACACCGGGGACUUAAAAUCCCCUGGACCUAGUCCGUGCCGGUUCGAGUCCGGCUCCGGGUA
rnacentral:tRNA from 1 species